GACGAACGCUGGCGGCGUGCUUAACACAUGCAAGUCGAACGGAAAGGCCCCCACCUUGGUGGGGGUGCUCGAGUGGCGAACGGGUGAGUAACACGUGGGUGAUCUGCCCUGUACUUCGGGAUAAGCUUGGGAAACUGGGUCUAAUACCGGAUAGGACCAUGGUUUAGUGUCUCAUGGUGGAAAAAUUAUUGUUUUGGUGCAGGAUGAGCUCGCGGCCUAUCAGCUUGUUGGUGGGGUAAUGGCCUACCAAGGCGUCGACGGGUAGCCGGCCUGAGAGGGUGGACGGCCACAUUGGGACUGAGAUACGGCCCAGACUCCUACGGGAGGCAGCAGUGGGGAAUAUUGCACAAUGGGCGCAAGCCUGAUGCAGCGACGCCGCGUGGGGGAUGACGGCCUUCGGGUUGUAAACUCCUUUCGUUAGGGACGAAGCCGCACCUUUUUUGGGUGUGGUGACGGUACC
rnacentral:rRNA from 1 species